UACGAAGGGUGCAAGCGUUAAUCGGAAUUACUGGGCGUAAAGCGCGCGUAGGUGGUUUGAUAAGUUGGAUGUGAAAGCCCCGGGCUCAACCUGGGAAUUGCAUCCAAAACUGUCUGACUAGAGUACGGUAGAGGGUAGUGGAAUUUCCUGUGUAGCGGUGAAAUGCGUAGAUAUAGGAAGGAACACCAGUGGCGAAGGCGACUACCUGGCCCAAUACUGACACUCAGGUGCGACAGCGUGGGGAGCAAACAGG
rnacentral:rRNA from 1 species